GGGUUGUGAGGUUAAGCGACUAAGCGUACACGGUGGAUGCCCUGGCAGUCAGAGGCGAUGAAGGGCGUGCUAAUCUGCGAUAAGCGCCGGUAAGGUGAUAUGAACCGUUAUAACCGGCGAUACCCGAAUGGGGAAACCCAGUGUGACUCGUCACACUAUCAUUAACUGAAUCCAUAGGUUAAUGAGGCGAACCGGGGGAACUGAAACAUCUAAGUACCCCGAGGAAAAGAAAUCAACCGAGAUUCCCCCAGUAGCGGCGAGCGAACGGGGAGGAGCCCAGAGCCUGAAUCAGCAUGUGUGUUAGUGGAAGCGUCUGGAAAGGCGCGCGAUACAGGGUGACAGCCCCGUACACAAAAGCGCACAUGCUGUGAGCUCGAUGAGUAGGGCGGGACACGUGGUAUCCUGUCUGAAUAUGGGGGGACCAUCCUCCAAGGCUAAAUACUCCUGACUGACCGAUAGUGAACCAGUACCGUGAGGGAAAGGCGAAAAGAACCCCGGCGAGGGGAGUGAAAAAGAACCUGAAACCGUGUACGUACAAGCAGUGGGAGCACCCUUUGGGGUGUGACUGCGUACCU
rnacentral:rRNA from 1 species